AUUGAACGCUGGCGGCAUGCUUUACACAUGCAAGUCGAACGGUAACAGGGUGCUUGCACCGCUGACGAGUGGCGAACGGGUGAGUAAUGCGUCGGAACGUGCCGAGUAGUGGGGGAUAACGCAGCGAAAGUUAUGCUAAUACCGCAUAGGUACUGAGGUAGAAAGGGGGGGACCUUCGGGCCUCACGCUAUUCGAGCGGCCGACGUCUGAUUAGCUAGUAGGGGAGGUAAGGGCUAACCUAGGCGACGAUCAGUAGCGGGUCUGAGAGGAUGAUCCGCCACACUGGGACUGAGACACGGCCCAGACUCCUACGGGAGGCAGCAGUGGGGAAUUUUGGACAAUGGGCGAAAGCCUGAUCCAGCCAUGCCGCGUGUCUGAAGAAGGCCUUCGGGUUGUAAAGGACUUUUGUCGGGGAGGAAAUCCCCAGCGUUAAUACCGCUGGGGGAUGACAGUACCUGAAGAAUAAGCACCGGCUAACUACGUGCCAGCCGCCGCCGUAACAC
rnacentral:rRNA from 1 species